GCUGGGCAUGGGGUGCAUGCCUGUAAUCCCAGAGGCUGAGGAGGCUGAGGCAGGAGAAUCCAGAGUUCAAAGCCAGCCUCAGCAACUUAGUGAGGUGCUAAGCAACUCAGUGAGACCCUGUCUCAA
rnacentral:sRNA from 1 species